AUCCUUCGGUUCAUGAGAAUGAUGAUCGGUUAUAUCACGGUUCUUCCGUGACAGGUGCGGCCUUACCUUGUUACGACGUGCGCCUCAGCCUUUCUGAUC